rnacentral:rRNA from 1 species
CAGCCGCCGCGGGAAUACGAGGGGGGCAAGCGUUGUUCGGAAUUAUUGGGCGUAAAGGGUGCGUAGGCGGCUUGACAAGUCUUGUGUGAAAUCUAUGGGCUCAACCCAUAGUCUGCACGGGAAACUGUCGGGCUUGAGAAUGGGAGAGGUGAGUGGAAUUUCCGGUGUAGCGGUGAAAUGCGUAGAUAUCGGAAGGAACACCUGUGGCGAAAGCGGCUCACUGGACCAUUUCUGACGCUGAUGCACGAAAGCUAGGGGAGCAAACAGGAUUAGAUACCCGCGUAGUCCCUGUCUCUUAUAC